AAGUUUACUAACCCUACUAUGGUAUCUCUUAAUUCCAUUCUCAUCUACUAUGAGAACUCACUUCUUUUCCUUGGUUAUACAACACUAAUGGUUCUCUAAGCUUAACAUCUAUAUUCUAAGCUUCUCAAAUGUUUCCAAGAAAUGACUACUCGAUUCUAACACACUCAACCGCUAUAAAUCCUUCCCAGGCUCUUCUCGAUCACCUAGUAAUUCCAUAUUCAAUCUCGGUGACUAUCCAAAAGUUGAUUUCCAAACAACCACAGUUCAUAUCUUGUUGAUUCCAACAACGUCCUUAUUUGUCACACACAAUCCAACUAGUCACGUUCCUUAUCGUUCUUCACUAUGACAAACAUACUUUUCUCCAUUCGAUCAGUUCUUAUUCGCAUCUCGUGAC
rnacentral:lncRNA from 1 species